rnacentral:SRP_RNA from 1 species
GCCGGGCAUGGUGGUGCAUGCCUGUAAUCCCAGCUACUCAGGAGGCUGAGGCAGGAGAACUGCUUGAACCCGGGAGGUGGAGGUUGCAGUGAGCCAAGAUCGCGCCACUGCACUCCAGCCUGGGUGACAGAGCAGGACUCUUUGUCUC